rnacentral:rRNA from 1 species
UCGGAAUUACUGGGCGUAAAGGGCGCGUAGGCGGAUAGUUUAGUCAGAGGGAAAAGCCCAGGGCUCAACCUUGGAACUGCCUUUGAUACUGGCUAUCUUGAGUUCGGGAGAGGUGAGUGGAAUGCCGAGUGUAGAGGUGAAAUUCGUAGAUAUUCGGCGGAACACCAGUGGCGAAGGCGACUCACUGGCCCGAUACUGACGCUGAGGCGCGAAAGCGUGGGGAGCAAACAGG